CCUACGGGCGGCAGCAGUGGGGAAUAUUGGACAAUGGGGGCAACCCUGAUCCAGCCAUGCCGCGUGUGUGAAGAAGGCCCUCGGGUUGUAAAGCACUUUCAGUGAGGAAGAACGCCUGGUGGUUAAUACCCAUCAGGAAAGACAUCACUCACAGAAGAAGCACCGGCUAACUCCGUGCCAGCAGCCGCGGUAAUACGGAGGGUGCGAGCGUUAAUCGGAAUUACUGGGCGUAAAGCGCGCGUAGGUGGCUUGAUAAGCCGGUUGUGAAAGCCCCGGGCUCAACCUGGGAACGGCAUCCGGAACUGUCAAGCUAGAGUGCAGGAGAGGAAGGUAGAAUUCCCGGUGUAGCGGUGAAAUGCGUAGAGAUCGGGAGGAAUACCAGUGGCGAAGGUGGCCUUCUGGACUGACACUGACACUGAGGUGCGAAAGCGUGGGUAGCAAACAGGAUUAGAUACCCCGGUAGUC
rnacentral:rRNA from 1 species